rnacentral:rRNA from 1 species
UCGAGUGGGUUUAGACCCACGGCAAACGGGUGAGUAAUACCUAGGAACUUUCUUUAAGUUGAGGAUAUCCCAUCGAAAGAUGGUGCAAUACUCGAUGUGGCAGUAAUGCUAAAGUCGCAAGACGCUUAAAGUGAGGCCUGGGCACCAUCAGCUAGUUGGUAAGGUAAUGGCUUACCAAGGCUAUGACGGUUAGGGGUCCCGAGAGGGAGAACCCCCACACUGGAACUGCGACACGGUCCAGACUCCUACGGGAGGCAGCAGUUUGGAAUUUUGGACAAUGGGCGAAAGCCUGAUCCAGCGACGCCGCGUGGACGAUGAAGGCCUUCGGGUUGUAAAGUCCUUUUGCUCGGGAACAAUAUUUUGAGCGUACCGAGAGAAUAAGAGGUUGCUAACUCUGUGCCAGCAGCAGCGGUAAUACAGAGACCUCAAGCGUUAUCCGGAAUUAUUGGGCGUAAAGCGUACCGACAGGUGGUUGUAUAAGUCAGAAGUGAAAUCUCCAAGCUCAACUUGGAAUCUGUCUUUUGAAACUAUACAACUAGAGGGGCAAAGAGGAAGCUGGAACAAACGGUGUAGUAGUGAAAUGCGUUGAUAUCGUUUGGAACACCAAUAGCGUANGCAGGCUUCUGGGUGCCACCUGACACUGCUAGGACGAGAGCGUGGGUAGCGAAUGGGAUUAGAUACCCCAGUANUCCACGCUGUAAACGAUGAUGAUUANGCGCUAGAGAGUAUCGACCCUCUUUAGUGCCAUAGCUAACGCGUUAAAUCAUCCGCCUGGGGAGUACGGCCGCAAGGCUAAAACUCNAAGGAAUUGACGGGGNNCUGCACAAGCGGUGGANCAUGUGNNNUAAUUCGACGGUAANNG